AUUGAACGCUGGCGGCAGGCUUAACACAUGCAAGUCGAACGAGUGGCGGACGGGUGAGUAAUGCUUGGGAAUCUAGCUUAUGGAGGGGGAUAACUACGGGAAACUGUAGCUAAUACCGCGUACCAUAGGAUGAGCCCAUGUGGGUUUAGGUAGUUGGUGAGGUAAAGGCUCACCAAGCCGACGAUCUCUAGCUGGUCUGAGAGGAUGACCAGCCAAACUGUGACUGAGAACCGGCGCAAAGUCCUACGGGAGGCAGCAGUGGGGAAUGUUGCGCAAUGGGAGCAACCUGACGCAUCCAUGCCGCGUGAGUGAAGAAGGCCGUCGGGUUGUAAAGUUCUUUCGGUAGCGAGGCGUUAACUUCAGAAGAAGCACCGGCUAACUCCGUGCCAGCAGCCGCGGUAAUUC
rnacentral:rRNA from 1 species